rnacentral:rRNA from 1 species
GACGAACGCUGGCGGCGUGCUUAACACAUGCAAGUCGAACGGAGUAAAACGCUGAUUUGAUGGUAGCUUGCUACUGGAUUUUCUUGUUUACUUAGUGGCGGACGGGUGAGUAACGCGUGAGUAACCUGCCUCUAAGUGGGGGAAUAACGUUCUGAAAAGAACGCUAAUACCGCAUAAUGUUAGUUUACCGCAUGAUAGACUAACCAAAGAUUUAUCGCUUAGAGAUGGACUCGCGUCCGAUUAGCUAGUUGGUGGGGUAACGGCCUACCAAGGCGACGAUCGGUAGCCGGACUGAGAGGUUGAACGGCCACAUUGGGACUGAGACACGGCCCAGACUCCUACGGGAGGCAGCAGUGAGGAAUAUUGGGUCAAAUGGUCGGAAGACUGAACCAGCCAUGCCGCGUGCAGGAAGAAU